GUCGUACGCUUCUUUUUCCACCGGAGCUUGCUCCACCGGAAAAAGAGGAGUGGCGAACGGGUGAGUAACACGUGGGUAACCUGCCCAUCAGAAGGGGAUAACACUUGGAAACAGGUGCUAAUACCGUAUAACAAUCGAAACCGCAUGGUUUUGAUUUGAAAGGCGCUUUCGGGUGUCGCUGAUGGAUGGACCCGCGGUGCAUUAGCUAGUUGGUGAGGUAACGGCUCACCAAGGCCACGAUGCAUAGCCGACCUGAGAGGGUGAUCGGCCACAUUGGGACUGAGACACGGCCCAAACUCCUACGGGAGGCAGCAGUAGGGAAUCUUCGGCAAUGGACGAAAGUCUGACCGAGCAACGCCGCGUGAGUGAAGAAGGUUUUCGGAUCGUAAAACUCUGUUGUUAGAGAAGAACAAGGAUGAGAGUAACUGUUCAUCCCUUGACGGUAUCUAACCAGAAAGCCACGGCUAACUACGUGCCAGCAGCCGCGGUAAUACGUAGGUGGCAAGCGUUGUCCGGAUUUAUUGGGCGUAAAGCGAGCGCAGGCGGUUUCUUAAGUCUGAUGUGAAAGCCCCCGGCUCAACCGGGGAGGGUCAUUGGAAACUGGGAGACUUGAGUGCAGAAGAGGAGAGUGGAAUUCCAUGUGUAGCGGUGAAAUGCGUAGAUAUAUGGAGGAACACCAGUGGCGAAGGCGGCUCUCUGGUCUGUAACUGACGCUGAGGCUCGAAAGCGUGGGGAGCAAACAGGAUUAGAUACCCUGGUAGUCCACGCCGUAAACGAUGAGUGCUAAGUGUUGGAGGGUUUCCGCCCUUCAGUGCUGCAGCUAACGCAUUAAGCACUCCGCCUGGGGAGUACGACCGCAAGGUUGAAACUCAAAGGAAUUGACGGGGGCCCGCACAAGCGGUGGAGCAUGUGGUUUAAUUCGAAGCAACGCGAAGAACCUUACCAGGUCUUGACAUCCUUUGACCACUCUAGAGAUAGAGCUUCCCCUUUCGG
rnacentral:rRNA from 1 species